rnacentral:rRNA from 1 species
UACGUAGGGCGCAAGCGUGUCCGGAAUUAUUGGGCGUAAAGAGCUCGUAGGCGGUUUGUCGCGUCUGCUGUGAAAACCUAAGGCUCAACCUUGGGCUUGCAGUGGGUACGGGCAGACUAGAGUGCGGGUAGGGGUGACUGGAAUUCCUGGUGUAGCGGUGGAAUGCGCAGAUAUCAGGAGGAACACCGAUGGCGAAGGCAGGUCACUGGGCCGCAAC